GAUGAACGCUGGCGGCGUGCCUAAUACAUGCAAGUCGAGCGAACAGAUGAGGAGCUUGCUCCUCUGACGUUAGCGGCGGACGGGUGAGUAACACGUGGAUAACCUACCUAUAAGACUGGGAUAACUUCGUGAAACCGGAGCUAAUACCGGAUAAUAUAUUGAACCGCAUGGUUCAAUAGUGAAAGACGGUUUUGCUGUCACUUAUAGAUGGUUCCGCGCCGCAUUAGCUAGUUGGUAAGGUAACGGCUUACCAAGGCAACGAUGCGUAGCCGACCUGAGAGGGUGAUCAGCCACACUGGAACUGAGACACGGUCCAGACUCCUACGGGAGGCAGCAGUAGGGAAUCUUCCACAAUGGGCGAAAGCCUGACGCAGCAACGCCGCGUGAGGGAUGAAGGUCUUCGGAUCGUAAAACUCUGUUAUUAGGGAAGAACAAAUGUGUAAGUAACUAUGCACGUCUUGACGGUACCUAAUCAGAAAGCCACGGCUAACUACGUG
rnacentral:rRNA from 1 species